GCCUCCUUGGUCUAGUGGUAAGACGUCUCUCUCACACAGAGAAGAUCGCGAGUUCGAUCCUCGCAGGUGGUA